CCUACGGGCGGCAGCAGUGGGGAAUAUUGGACAAUGGGGGGAACCCUGAUCCAGCCAUGCCGCGUGUGUGAAGAAGGCCCUCGGGUUGUAAAGCACUUUCAGUGAGGAAGAACGCCUGGUGGUUAAUACCCAUCAGGAAAGACAUCACUCACAGAAGAAGCACCGGCUAACUCCGUGCCAGCAGCCGCGGUAAUACGGAGGGUGCGAGCGUUAAUCGGAAUUACUGGGCGUAAAGCGCGCGUAGGUGGCUUGAUAAGCCGGUUGUGAAAGCCCCGGGCUCAACCUGGGAACGGCAUCCGGAACUGUCAAGCUAGAGUGCAGGAGAGGAAGGUAGAAUUCCCGGUGUAGCGGUGAAAUGCGUAGAGAUCGGGAGGAAUACCAGUGGCGAAGGCGGCCUUCUGGACUGGCACUGACACUGAGGUGCGAAAGCGUGGGUAGCAAACAGGAUUAGAUACCCUUGUAGUC
rnacentral:rRNA from 1 species